GGAUCAUUGUCUGGCCGAUUUGUUGCAUGGAUGGCAGGAUGGAAGACUUCCGGUGGAUAUAACUUGCAUAAUAAGCAAUCAUGAUAGAGGACCAAACACCCAUGUGAUUCGAUUUCUUGAAAGGCAUGGGAUCCCCUAUCAUUAUUUGCACACAACUAAAGGGAA